CAGAGCGAGACUCCGUCUCAAAAUAAACAAAAAAACCUCAAUUACUUUUGCACCAACCUGAUACUUCUGUAGGUUUCAACUCCUGGCAUGAGGGGGUUGGUCAGCACAGUCACAUCCCUCGGGCUUUUCCAGAGUCUUCCAUGGCAAUAGCUCCAUACUUGCAAACUCAUCACCACCUGCUGAAGGCCAAGGAACAAUGUGGUGAGUAAAGGCAGCUCACGCUCUAUGCUGAGGGUGGGUAUAAAGAGUGGACACUCGUGACCAGGAGGGUUAUAUUUGAGAGUAAACCGUCAGGCAGAAGGCAGAUGUGAAUAAUCUCAGGUCACUGAGUUCAACGCAGUUGGGAGAGGCCCAUUUCUUGGCCACAUAUUCAUUUGUCACUUCCCACUGACUGCCUGCCAUGCGUCAGACAUUUGUUAAGAAGACAGGGGCGGUCCUGCCCUCAGCUUGCUCACAGUCCAAGACAGCUCCAGGCUAGAGCUGGAAAAUGCCUGUGCUUCUGUGUGCAAGAAUGAUCUGAGGAAAGUUUUUGGCCUUAUGGGGUGUGCCCCCCAACCCCCUCCAAAGUUGUUCACAUCUUAAUUCCUAGAACCUCUGAUUACGUUACUUGUCAUGGCAAAAGGAGUUUUGCAGAUGGAUUAAGUUAAGGACCUUGAGAUGGGUUGUUCAUGCUGGAUUAUCUGAGAGGACCCCGUGAAUCACAAGAGUUCUGAAAAGUGGAAAAGGAGGCAGAAGACAGUGGGAGGAAGAUGGGACUAUGGACAAAGAGUGAUGCCUGCAAGGUUCAACCUGCUGUAACUGCCUCUGGAGAUAGAGGGAGGGGGCCAAGAGGAAGGAAUGCAGGUGGCCUCUAGGAGCUGGAAAGUCAAGGAAAUGGAUUCUCUACUAGAGCCUCCAGCAAGGAACGCCCCCCUGCUGACCCCUUGAUUCUAGCCCAACAGGAACCUUGUCAGACUUCUAACCUACAGAAUUGAGAGAUAAUACAUUUGUGUUGGUUUAAGUCACUAAAUUCGUGAAUUUGUUGUAAUUGCCCCAGGAAACUAGUAAAUGAAGCUCUGGACCUGUGGUCAGACCAAGACUAGCCAUUUGUCUCCAACUCCAAGAAGUGUCCUGCUGUCUCUGUACCUGAGGUCCUGGGUUGGGAUGUGGGGACUGACUUCUUUGAGAGAUUGGCUGCACUGAAUCUCAGAAGGUCCUAGGCUGGAUGUAGCAGGAAGUUCAGAUUCAGGGGCAGGAGUGCUCAUAGGCACUUGCAGGGAUGCUCUCAGGAUGCCACAGAAUCCCAAGUGUCAAUAUGGCGGGCGGAUGAAGAGAUACAGCCUUGGCAAAGCUUGCCAGGUGCGACUAAGUAACAACUCAGGCAGAAGAGGAGCCUCUUGUUUGGACUUGGCCUAAAUAUUGUAUCUUUCUUGGGUUUUGGAUAUCCCUUGCUGUCAUAGAGACAACACAGGAUUCUCUUCCAGCCAGAUCACUUACAGAUUGUGCAACAUUGGGCAAAUUACUUAACUUCUCCAAACCCUAGUUUCCUCGUUUGUAAAUAUGCACUUUGCUAUGUUAUUAUGAGGAAGGUUGUUACAAAGUCUAAAUAAAGCUGUGUAAAGCACCUGGCACAUAAUGGGACAAAGACUCUUUCUGAAGAAGGAUGGUUGUAGGAUUCUCUCCAGCUUAGUGGAUGGUUGUAGAACCAAGUCCACUGCUGGGUGCUAGGAAAGCAAUCUGAUUGUGCUAAUCCAGGCGAAUCCACCUUGGGAUGUUUGUGCAUUCAUCAGGACGAAUUUAAAUUUGGUAAAGCAUCAAAUGUGAAUGAGAUGGUGUUCAUGGUCAUUUCCUGUAACUUUCAAAAGAGUGAAAACAGAAAUCAAUUCUGAUUCUGCUAUUGACUAGCUGUGUGAUCUCAGGUAGGUCACUUACACUCUCUGGACCUCAGCUUCCUCAUAUAAAGUGCAAAGUUUGCAAUACAUGAUCUGUAAGGUAUUGUGUAGCAUUCUCAUUCUGUACCCACAGAAGCAUUUGCAACACUCAAAGGCUGUCCUUCCUGUCCUCUAGGUGUUUAUAAUCCAAGUCUCUUGGUCUGCCAAUCCUUUUCAAAUCAGAUUGGCCUUUCCUCUUUCUCCUACUGUUACUUGAUCAGUUUCUAGGCUCAUUUUUAUUGUAAAAAAAUAAAAUCGAAUUCCUAAGGCUCUGGAGUUUCAAAUAACUCUUGGUAAAUUAGAGCCCAAUAAAUAUUUCAUAGUUAAACCCAAAAUAGCAACCUGGCUCCUCCCUAGUAUUAAAGAGAUUGAAAAAGUCUCCACGGUGGGAAGAGAAUAUCCCAGCAAUUGAAGACAUCUGUGGAUAUGGCAGUUUUACCCUCUUGGCUAUAUCAAAGAAACAGACUCCUAAAGUGUAUUCAAGGGUACCCUGCCAAUAUCAGCACUUCGUCCAGAUAAAUUGCAAGGCCUGGAGUCGGAAGUAAAGUUUGCAUUUUGAAAAGGAGAGGCUGUACGUUCCCGGUCCUAUGUGUAAAUAAGCACUUGAAUAAAUCAGGACUCAGUAAUAAGCAGUGGCUAGGGUUUAAUAACUGUCUCUGACUUGAAUCCAAGUGUCAGGACUGGAAAAAGUUGGUUGAAACUGGUCCCUUCUGUGAAAGAUAAAAUGGGGGAAAUAGCAAUGUCCUUCUGAGAAGUUAAAAGCCUUCUUGUUUACAACUGGCCAGUGGAGACAUUAAUAAAGGCAGAGCUCCAAAAUACCAACACAUUACUAAUCUUGCCCACAGAAGUUUAUUCUUUUAUUGUAGAUUUGUUAAUGGUUGGUUAGCUCUGGCACUUGAAUAGUGGUCAAAGGUGGACAGAGAAGUACUGAGGCAUGAAGCUAGAAGGAGAGGAGACUUUGAAAGGUACUGGAUUGGGCCUGUUCCCACUGGCCUUUGCCCAUCCAGAACCCAUUCUCCUGCCCAUCAAAUUGUUUUGGGCAGGCUUCUCCCAGUCUGACCCAUUCUGGAGAACUCUAAGGGAAAGCUGGCACUUGGAAACCCCAGUUUUAUGAAUGUCUCGGUUACAGAUUUCUGGUCUUAAUUACCGGGUUGGAGAAAUGAUGUGUGUUUUCUAAGAUUAGCUUUUACACCAGCUACUGUAACUGGCUAGGCUUGAGCUCUUGCAGAAGUAACCUGGCAGCUGCAGAGAAAUGGCUUUCUGUGAGGGGGCAAGGAGCCAUCUGAGUGUUUGGGGAAGCCAUUUACAGAAACAUUUUUUUCCUUGUGUGGUUUAUGUGUACUGGCUAAGGAUUUUGACUUGGAAAAGAAAAAAGGAAAUGAAAGCCCAGAGACGAGAUGAUUUUUAAGAGUUGAACUGAGCUGCAAGCAUGUGGAUCAUGUUAUGGGUUCUUCUGGAGUCUUCUGAACCUGCCGGGCAUUUCUGACUGGAUGAAAAUUAACAAAAGUCCAUGUUCAACCUGAUGAAAAUUAGCAGCAGUUCAUCUUAAUUUAAUUGCCACAGCAUGCAGCUAUGAGAGUACGUAUAUUUUCAUUCAUGUAUUUGAAAUAUUUAUGGAUUGUCUAUUAUAUGACUAGUACUAGGGGUUCAAUAAAUUUACCCAUAUAAUGUGUUUGUGUUAAAUAUUUAUUAUUAAUAUGGGUAAAUGUAAUAUGUUUAUAUAGGUAAAUGUAAUCUAUUUGGUAUGUAGAUACACAAAUUUAGAAUAUAUAACAGAUUUGUUUCUGUAUAGACAUAUAUUUUGGAGGCAUUCUGUUGUCUGGUUUCUUUAUAUUCCCAUAUGUGCUCAAUUUCCAUAUUCCCUUUCCUGAUUCAUUGUUUUCUUCUAGUAUUAAAGUAGAAUAAAGGCAACCAUGUAUUGUGGAGCAGGGUGUACACAGCGCAAUUUUCAAGGACUCAUUUCUACCUCUGCAGCCACGCACAGCAGCCUUGCAGUUCAAAUCACGAAGCUACCACUCAUCUGAUGACAUCUUGCUGUCCUAAUCUGAAAGGGUAGCUUUAGGCAAAAUGAACCAUCUUUUGAGGGCUGAACUUGCAAAUAUGUGUGUGUGUGUGUGUGUGUGUGUGUGUGUGUGUGUAUACACAUAUAUGUGUGUGUAUAUAUAUACCAAUUGGAUCAAAAAUAUGAAUCAAACUAAUUGGUAAUUUUUUCUUCUAGAAUUAGGCAAAAUGACAAGACUGAAUCCUCAGGAAAGAUACUUAAUUCUCCUUAUUGGUGUUGCCUCUGAGGACAUGCUGUGAUGUGAUGGUGUAAGAAUAGCGAUGUUAUGUUGAAAUUCUUUCAGUUCUCACUGAUAUGAAAAUAGUUCUAAAUGUAUAACAAGUUUUGAACUCUAGUAGAUUGAAAUAUAUCAAGACCACAGGGUAAUUAACUUCUCUAUAGUUUGGAAAAUUAAUUGGAGAAGACACUAAGAAUUUUGCAGAUAAUCUCUCUUAAAGUAAUAUUGUAAAUAUUUAAGUAUGGUUAGCAUUCUUAAGUAUGGUUAGCCAUACUUAAGUGUGGUUAACAUAACAGUAAUACAUAUAUUUAUAUAUCAUCCUAUCUCCAAGGAGCUCUUAGUAAUUUACAAAUUGCUUUUAAAUAUGGUUAUAGCUCGCAGAUUCUCUAGAAAGCAAGCAGGAACAAGUUCUAUGAAUACUACUUAAUUCAAGGAGUUUGAGAUUCUUUGAGUGGCAAAUCCAGACUCAUCCAGUGUGUCAGCAUCUGAGUUAGACACUCUUGGCACCCAUGUCCUUCCUGUUUUGUGGUUUUCAGUGGGAGCCUAGACUCCUAUUUGAUCAAUCUCUUCUUUCUAGCUUGCUUCCUAAACACCACCACACCACACUCCACUACACGAAGUUCCAGGCAAUGUGGAAUCUGUGCUGUUUUAGUGAGAGAUUGAGACCUCUUUCUGUGCUCCCAGGAAAUUUUGCCAAAAUUGCAAAUACACAGUUCCAGGUGAAUCUUUUUACAAUAUUUGGUGGUUAGCAAAGAAUAAUGUUUCACUGGAUUUUUGAAUUUUACCAAUGAAGGGAGGUGAUGGGGUGCAGUGGAUUAGACACUUGCCUGUAAUUCAGGAACCUGGGUUCUAGUCUUCAGCCCUGAGGCACUUAUGUAAGUUUUGCCUGGGAGCUGAGUUGGGAACAUGAGGACCUUCCUCAGGAGAUGGGGCCUCAGGAAAUGACCCUGGCUUAUAAGGGAAGGUGUAACUGAGUCCUUUAUUGCCAGAUCCUUUCUAUAAAAACACAGUUUUUCUCUCUUCUCCUGUUACUAUCACAGACUUUUAGAAAUUUAAAAUACAAGGACAGACCUAGUAAUAAUUGCUGCCAUUCUUGAGGUCUUUACUUGUGUGCAGUCAUUACUCCCUUUCAUCUUACAAUCUAGGUUUUAACCGUGUGACCUUGGGCAAGUUAUAUAACCACUCUGGUUCUCAGUUUUAUCAAAUAUCAAAAAGGAGGGAUUUGACUAGAUAUAGUGGUUUUCAAAUUGGGCCCUGUGAAUCUCUAAGGAUCAGGGGAGAACCCUUAGGAAUUACUGAGUGCGUCAAAGAAACAGCUACAUAGGCAGGUCUCCUCAAGCUAGCAAUCCCUUCCCUUACUCUCAAUCACAGAAGCUUUGCUUUUUAUCUGUGUCAAAUAGUGGAGUUAUUUGAAAAAAAAGCUUCUCAUGCUAAAAAAGUUUAGCUUUACUUCUGUCAAGAUAGUAUAAAAAGAGACUAGAUUUAUCCUUCUACCUAAAACAAACACAUGAUAUAUAAAAUACAGUCGUGAACCACAUAAUGACAUUUCAGUCAAUGAUGGACCACAUAUAUGAUGGUGGUCUCAUAGAAUAUAAUAGAGCUGAAAAAUUCCGAUGACCUGGUGACAUCAUUCAUAACGUCAUAGUACAAUGUAUUACUCACAGGUUUGUGUUGAUGCUGAUGUAAACAAACUUACUGCACUACCAGUUGCAUAAAAGUCUAGCACAUAAAGUUAUGUAGAAUACAUAAUACUUGAUAAUAAACUAUGUUACUGGUUUAUUGUAUUAUACUCAUUAACUGUAAAACAGCUGAUCCUUUAGAAGGUGUUCCAGAAGAAGGCAUUGUUAUCAUAGGAGAUGACAGUUCCAUGCAUGUUAAUUGUCCUUGAAGACUUUCUAGUGGGACAAGAUGUGGAGUUUGAAGACUGUUAUAUUGAUAAUCCUGACCCUGUGUAGGCCUAGGCUAAUGUGUGUU